GGGGAUGCGGCCACGAGACUGUGCUUGUAUUAGCCUUUGCACCUGUGAAACGUUUACUCUCCGGAUAGACACGUCGUCGUUGACAGUGUUAGGAUACCUAAGUCCUCUCCAGGGAUGACAAGAUAGUUCCGUGGGCAAAACCCCCUGCUGCCAACUGUGAAGACUUGUGUUCAAUUCCCAAGACCACAUAGUGGGAGAGAUGUCACUCUCA
rnacentral:lncRNA from 1 species